GUCCACGCCCUAAACGAUGUCAACUGGUUGUUGGAAUUGUUUCUCAGUAACGAAGCUAACGCGUGAAGUUGACCGCCUGGGAGUACGGCCGCAAGGUUGAAACUCAAAGGAAUUGACGGGACCCGCACAAGCGGUGGAUGAUGUGGUUUAAUUCGAUGCAACGCGAAAACCUUACCCACCUUUGACAUGUCAAGAAUUCCACAGAGAUGAGGAAGUGCUCGAAAGAGAACUUGAACACAGGUGCUGCAUGGCUGUCGU
rnacentral:rRNA from 1 species